rnacentral:rRNA from 1 species
AUUGAACGCUGGCGGCAGGCCUAACACAUGCAAGUCGAACGAGUGGCGGACGGGUGAGUAAUGUCUGGGAACCUGCCUGAUGGAGGGGGAUACCUACUGGAAACGGUAGCUAAUCCCGCAUACCACCCGAUAGGACCACGUGGGAUUAGCUUGUUGGUGGGGUAACGGCUCACCAAGGAGACGAUCCCUAGCUGGUCUGAGAGGAUGACCGUCCACACUGGAACUGAGACACGGUCCAGACUCCUACGGGAGGCAGCAGUAGGGAAUAUUGCACAAUGGGCGCAAGCCUGAUUCAGCCAUGCCGCGUGUAUGAAGAAGGCCUUCGGGUUGUAAAGUACUUUCAGCGGGGAGGCGUUACCCGCAGAAGAAGCACCGGCUAACUCCGUGCCAGCAGCCGCGGUAAUUC